AUUGAACGCUGGCGGCAGGCCUAACACAUGCAAGUCGAGCGGAUGAAGGGAGCUUGCUCCUGGAUUCAGCGGCGGACGGGUGAGUAAUGCCUAGGAAUCUGCCUGGUAGUGGGGGAUAACGUCCGGAAACGGGCGCUAAUACCGCAUACGUCCUGAGGGAGAAAGUGGGGGAUCUUCGGACCUCACGCUAUCAGAUGAGCCUAGGUCGGAUUAGCUAGUUGGUGGGGUAAAGGCCUACCAAGGCGACGAUCCGUAACUGGUCUGAGAGGAUGAUCAGCCACACUGGAACUGAGACACGGUCCAGACUCCUACGGGAGGCAGCAGUGGGGAAUAUUGGACAAUGGGCGAAAGCCUGAUCCAGCCAUGCCGCGUGUGUGAAGAAGGUCUUCGGAUUGUAAAGCACUUUAAGUUGGGAGGAAGGGCAGUAAGUUAAUACCUUGCUGUUUUGACGUUACCAACAGGAUAAGCACCGGCUAACUUCGUG
rnacentral:rRNA from 1 species